UGUCAGAGUCAUAUCUCCCUGCAGUUCUCGCCUGGUUUCCCACUGAAGCUAAGCAGGGGUGAGCUUGGCCAGUACGUGGAUGGGAGAACUCCUGGGAUAGCUAAAGUCGCUGCUAGAA
rnacentral:rRNA from 1 species